UUUAAAUAAUUUAAAAAAAAAUUUAUUUUUAAUUGUAGUUGGACACAUGUCUUUAUUUUAUUUAUUUAUUUUUAUGUGGUGCUGAGGAUUGAACCCAGGGCCCUGCAUGUUCUAGGUGCGCAUGCUUACCACUGGUCUUCAACCCCAGCCCCCAAAGGUUUAUGAAACCUUUAUAUGAAUCCUCAUAUACUGCCUUCCCAGUUCCCACAAUUUUCCCUAUUUCUUUUCUUCCUCUCCUCUACCACCGAGGCCUUCCUUUUCCUCUUCGUCCUCCUCCUCCUCCUCCUCCUCCUUCUCCUUCUCCUCCUUCUCCUUCUCCUCCUUCUCCUCCUCCUCCUCCUCCUCUUCCUCCUCCUUCUUCCUUCUCUCUCUCUCUCUCUCUCUCUCUCUCUCUUAUUUUGGGUGCUGGUACUGUGGAUUGAAUGCAUACUAAUCAAGUGAGCUCAUGCUACUACUGAACUACACCCAAGCCUAGUUUCCUCUAUUAAUAUCUGUGGAAUACUUGUUACAAUUGAUAAAUCAGUAUUGAUUGACAUAGCAUCACAACCAAAGUUCAAAAUUUGUUUGAGUUCAAUCUCUGUGUUGUACAUUAUUUGGAUUUUGCCAAAUGUAUAACUUUUGGCAAAAAACUUUAGGUAUCCAUGACUGUAGUGUAUAAAAUAGUUUCACUGCCCUAAGCUUCUCUGUGUACCCCCUAGUAAUACUUCCCUCCGUCCCGUUCAGAAACAACUGGUCAUUUUAUUCUCUCUAUAGUUUUGCAUUUUCCAGAAUGUCGUAUAGUUGGAAUUAUACAGCACAUAGACUUCAGAUUGGCUGUUUGAACUUAGCAAAAUGGCAUUUAAGAUUCCACCAUGUCUUUUUGUGUCUCUAUUGUUCAUUUUUUAAAAAUAUUUUUUUAGUUGUAGAUGGAUACAAUACCUUUAUUUUUUUAUUUUUAUGUGGUGCUGAGGAUCACACUCAGUGCCUCAUACAUGCAAGGCAAGUGCUCUGCCACUGAGCUACAACCCCAGCCCUUGUUCAUGUAUUUUUAUUUUGGAAUAUAUUCCAUUGUCUGGAUGUUUCAGUUUGUUUACCCAUUCACAUAUGAAAGGCCAUCUCGACUACUUUGGAGCUGAAUUGGUUUGGCAGAUGGCUCUUAAAGGGCACAGCCAGCUGGGCCUGUAGCAAGUAGUGACCACUAGAGGGCAACAGAGUCCCUUAUUCUCUCUACCCUGGUAGAUGUAAGACAUUUCUUUCUUUCUUUUUUGGUGGUGGUAGGGGGAGAGUUUACUGGGAAUUGAACUCAGGGAUACUUGACCACUGAGCCAUAUCCCCACCCCUAUUUUGUAUUUUAUGUAAAGACAGGGUCUCACUGAGUUGCUUAGUUUCUUGCUGUUGCAGAGGCUGGCUUUGAAUUUGCAAUCCUCCUAACUUAGCCUCCCAAGCUGCUGGGAUUACAGUAUGUAAUCCCAACAUGCCUGGCAAAUGUAAGCCAUUUCUUGUUGAUCUAGACUUGAUCUGGUAUUUGCUCUGAGCUAGACAUUUGUGGGAAAAAGAUAAGUUGGACUGACUUUCUUUGAUGUAAAUACCAGGGUUUCAUGACUAGAUGUUUCCUUGAAAUUGACUACAGUUUUCUUACUUCAUCAUUUAUUGAGCUUGUCUAGACUAGCAACUUGUCCCAAAGAAGCUAAACGAAAUGCCAGCUGGACUGUUUAGCUAUAGAGAUGAGAGUGCGGACAUCAAGGAGAAAAAGCUGCCCUAAGUCCUGAUUUACUAGGAGGGCAAUGCCAGGCAGCCCCUUGCCCAGGCAUGCUUGGACUGGUUGAAUGAGAAACCAGGGGACUCAGUACAAAGUGGAAUCACUUGGUGUAUUAAGUUCAUUUCCCUUUACUGUAAUGAAAUACCUGAGGCUGAAGACUUUAUAAAGAAAAGAGAUUUAGCUGGGUAUCGUGGUACAAGCCUGUAAUGCCAGCAACUUGGGAGACUGGGGAAGGAGGAUCACAAGUUUGAUGUCAUCCUCGACAACUUAGUGAGGCCCUAAGUGACUCACUGAGACCCUGUCUCCAAAAAAAAUGUGUGGGGGGGGGGGGUGGCACCAAGGAUGUACCUCAGUUGUAGAGUGCCCAUAGGUUCAUACCCUACUACCAAAAAAAUUUUAAAAAGAAAUACAAGAAGUUUAUUUAGCUCAGUUUUUGAGGCCAAGAUCCAGGAUCAGGCGACCCCAUCAAUUCAUCCUUUGGUUAUGACCUCCUUGGCUGGAUUGCAUCAUGGUGGAAGCAUGCACAAGAGAAAGAGAUCACAUGCCAAGACAGAAGCCAGAAGGAAAUGGGAUCCCACAGUCCCUUCUGAAGUAAGCAUCCCAAUGACCUAACAACCUCUCCCCAGCUCCACCACCCCCAGCAUCACCACACUGAAGACCAAGCUUCCAACAUGUGAAACUGGGAGCACACACUCAAACCAUACCCAAACCUCAGUAUUUAGGAAACAUGCUUUCUCACUCUAGUCAGAGGGACUUACCUCAAGAGGAUGUAUCCCCUGUCCAGUGAUGUGUUGUUAUUUUUAAUUUUUUUUAAGUUGUCAAUGGACCUUUUAUUUAUUUAUAUGCAUGUGGUGCUUAAGAUUAAAUGCAGGACCUCACACGUGCCAGGCAGCCCUCUACCACUGAGCCCCAACUCCAGCUCCCCAGUGAUGUGUUGAGCAGUUGUUGCCAGCUGAAGAUGGAACUUUCUCCUAGUGUAUAGGGAGUGCUCCUCAGGAAGCCUCAGACAUGGGUAUGCACAGCCACCUGAGCAGUGUUCAUCAUUGCCGUCAACAAAGCACUGUAAUACAGAUAUUUACAGAUACUGAUCAGGUUUGGGGUUUUGUUUUGCUUUGUUUUGUACAUUGAACCCAAGGGUGCUUUUUCAGACAGGGCCUCGCUAUGUUAUCACACUGAGUUGCCACAGCUUGCUUUGAACUUGCAAUCUUCCUGCCUCAGCCUCCUGAGUCUCUGGGAUUAUGGGCAUGUGCCACAACGUGCAGUCAGAAAAAUUUUAUUUAUUUAUUUUUUUUAAUUUUUAUUUUUUUUAAAGAGAGAGAUUUUUUUAAAAAAAUAUUUAUUUUUUAGUUUUCGG
rnacentral:tRNA from 1 species